UACGUAGGGGGCAAGCGUUGUCCGGAAUCAUUGGGCGUAAAGAGCGUGUAGGCGGCUCGAUAAGUCUGCUGUGAAAGUCGGGGGCUCAACCCUCGAAUGCCGGUGGAUACUGUCGGGCUAGAGUGCGGAAGAGGCGAGUGGAAUUCCUGGUGUAGCGGUGAAAUGCGCAGAUAUCAGGAGGAACACCGGUGGCGAAGGCGGGACUCUGGACCGAGACUGACGCUGAGGCGCGAAAGCGUGGGGAGCAAACAGG
rnacentral:rRNA from 1 species